GUUGUUACAUCCCAGCUCCUUUGUUCUAACAGGGGUGAUCUGAGCCGGAUCACCCCUACCAGAUCACCCCAGUUUGAGUUUCUUUGUUAUGCAUGCUUUCCUUUGUUCUGUAACAUUUUGGCGGGAAUGUCAAAUCCACUAUAAAACUUAUAAUUAAUUAUACAGAAAAGAAUAUCUAUGAAAAUUCACGUAGAAAAAAAUCCAGUAUAUACUGGGAAUCGAACUCAAGACCUUUAGCAUAUCAAGCCACGACACAUACCACUACACUAGGACGACUGGAUACGAAUUAACAGUAAUUAUACAUACUUAUAUCUAAUUAAAGGAAGCAAGAUCUUUUUAUAAGUAGGGCGAGUUGGCAGACCUUUAUUCAGUGGGGUUUAAACCUUUUUUGUUAAUAAGUGAGUUGUCAGGCUGACUGUUCAAUUUGAUUUUACACUUUUUCAAAGUGUGGCGAGUCGGAAAACAAGAUAGUGGUGAUUUUUUUAUAAAGUGGCGAUAUAGUAUGGGCCAAUUGGCAAGUGGGGCGAGUUGACAUUGUUUGAUAUCUACUCAUCGUGUUCGGGGGUCAUAAAGGGUAUACAUCAUGUAGUAAUAUAUAAAGUAUAUUAUAAUGGUUGUGUGGCGUUUUAAACUAGAUUUUUUGAAUUGUAAAUAGUUUUUCGUCUAAUUUAAAACAGCUGGGAUGUAAAAUAGUUAUCCCACUCGGACUUGGUGUGUCAGUGUUAGAUCACCCUCUGGCCUCCGGCCAUCGGGGUGAUCUUACACUGACACACCGCGUCCUUGAGGGAUAACUAUUAAUU
rnacentral:lncRNA from 1 species